CCUACGGGACGCAGCAGUGAGGAAUAUUGGUUAAUGGGCGGUAGCCUGAACCAGCCAAGUAGCGUGAAGGAUGAAGGUUCUAUGGAUUGUAAACUUCUUUUAUAAAGGGGUAAAGUGAGGCACGUGUGCCUCUUUGUAUGUACUUUAUGAAUAAGGAUCGGCUAACUCCGUGCCAGCAGCCGCGGUAAUACGGAGGAUGCGAGCGUUAUCCGGAUUUAUUGGGUUUAAAGGGUGCGUAGGCGGGCUUUUAAGUCAGCGGUAAAAAUUCGGGGCUCAACCCCGUCCGGUCGUUGAAACUGGGUGCC
rnacentral:rRNA from 1 species